rnacentral:rRNA from 1 species
UACGGAAGGCAGCAGUGGGGAAUAUUGGACAAUGGGCGAAAGCCUGAUCCAGCAAUGCCGCGUGAGUGAUGAAGGCCUUAGGGUUGUAAAGCUCUUUUACCCGGGAUGAUAAUGACAGUACCGGGAGAAUAAGCUCCGGCUAACUCCGUGCCAGUAGCCGCGGUAAUACGGAGGGAGCUAGCGUUAUUCGGAAUUACUGGGCGUAAAGCGCACGUAGGCGGCUUUGUAAGUUAGAGGUGAAAAGCCUGGAGCUCAACUCCAGAAUUGCCUUUUAAGACUGCAUCGCUCGAAUCCAGGAGAGGUGAGUGGAAUUCCGAGUGUAGAGGUGAAAUUCGUAGAUAUUCGGAAGAACACCAGUGGCGAAGGCGGCUCACUGGACUGGUAUUGACGCUGAGGUGCGAAAAGCGUGGGGAGCAAAACAGGGAUUAGAUACC